rnacentral:rRNA from 1 species
UGGGGAAUUUUGGACAAUGGGCGAAAGCCUGAUCCAGCAAUGCCGCGUGUGUGAAGAAGGCCUUCGGGUUGUAAAGCACUUUUGUCCGGAAAGAAAUCCUUGGCUCUAAUACAGUCGGGGGAUGACGGUACCGGAAGAAUAAGCACCGGCUAACUACGUGCCAGCAGCCGCGGUAAUACGUAGGGUGCAAGCGUUAAUCGGAAUUACUGGGCGUAAAGCGUGCGCAGGCGGUUUGCUAAGACCGACGUGAAAUCCCCGGGCUCAACCUGGGAACUGCAUUGGUGACUGGCAGGCUAGAGUAUGGCAGAGGGGGGUAGAAUUCCGCGUGUAGCAGUGAAAUGCGUAGAGAUGUGGAGGAAUACCGAUGGCGAAGGCAGCCCCCUGGGCCAAUACUGACGCUCAUGCACGAAAGCGUGGGGAGCAAAACAGGAUUAGAUACCCUGGUAGUCCACGCCCUAAAACGAUGUCAACUAGUUGUUGGGGAUUCAUUUCCUUAGUAACGUAGCUAACGCGUGAAGUUGACCGCCUGGGGAGUACGGUCGCAAGAUUAAAACUUAAAGGAAUUGACGGGGUCAUAGCUGUUUCCU